rnacentral:rRNA from 1 species
GAAAUGCGUAGAUAUUGGGAGGAACACCAGGGGGAAGGGCGGCUCUCUUGUAACUGACGCCUGAGGCGAAAGCGGGAGCAAACAGGAUUAGAUACCCUGGUAGUCCACGCCGUAAACGAUGAGUGCUAAGGUUGGAGGGCUUCGCCCUUGGCAGUAACGCAUUAAGCAUCCGAGUACGCCCCAAGUAAAACUAAAAGAAAUUGGGGGGCCCCCACAAGCGGUGGAGCAUGUGGUUUUAUUUGGAAGCAACGGGAAGACCCUUCCCAGUCUUGCUCCUUGACCCCUAGAGAUAGAGCUUCCCCCGGGGGGCAAAGCACAGGGCGCAUGGUUCUCAGCUCGUCGAGAUUUGGGUUAAUCCCGACGGGGGACCCUUUUUUCCCCAUCAUUCAGCGGCACUCUACAAGACUCCAAACCGGAGGAAGGUGGGGAUGACGUCAAAUCAUCAUGCCCUAUGACCUGGGCUACACACGUGCUACAAUGGGAAGUACAAAGAGUUAGGAAGUCCCGAGGGUUAGUUAAU